rnacentral:rRNA from 1 species
UACGUAGGGGGCUAGCGUUGUCCGGAAUCAUUGGGCGUAAAGAGCGUGUAGGCGGUCCGGUAAGUCCGCUGUGAAAGUCCAGGGCUCAACCCUGGGAUGCCGGUGGAUACUGUCGGGCUCGAGUCCGGAAGAGGAGUGUGGAAUUCCUGGUGUAGCGGUGAAAUGCGUAGAUAUCGAGAGGAACACCUGCGGCGAAGGCGGGUUGCUGGGCUGACACUGACGCUGAGGCGCGAAAGCCAGGGGAGCGAACGGG